rnacentral:rRNA from 1 species
GACGAACGCUGGCGGCGUGCUUAACACAUGCAAGUCGAACGGAAAGGCCCUGCUUUUGUGUGGUGCUCGAGUGGCGAACGGGUGUGUAACACGUGAGUAACCUGCCCUUGACUUUGGGAUAACUUCAGGAAACUGGGGCUAAUACCGGAUAGGAGCUCCUGCUGCAUGGUGGGGGUUGGAAAGUUUCGGCGGUUGGGGAUGGACUCGCGGCUUAUCAGCUUGUUGGUGGGGUAGUGGCUUACCAAGGCUUUGACGGGUAGCCGGCCUGGGAGGGUGACCGGCCACAUGGGGACUGAGAUACGGCCCAGACUCCUACGGGAGGCAGCAGUGGGGAAUAUUGCACAAUGGGCGGAAGCCUGAUGCAGCAACGCCGCGUGCGGGAUGACGGCCUUCGGGUUGUAAACCGCUUUCGCCUGUGACGAAGCGUGAGUGACGGUAAUGGGUAAAGAAGCACCGGCUAACUACGUG